UACCAGCACCCCGAGUGGUCGGGACGAUUAUUGGGCCGUAAAGCAUCCGUAGCCGGUCAUGCAAGUCCUCCGUUAAAUCCACCUGCUUAACAGAUGGGCUGCGGAGGAUACUACAAGGCUAGGAGGCGGAAGAGGCAAGCGGUACUCAGUGGGUAGGGGUAAAAUCCGUUGAUCCAUUGAAGACCACCAGUGGCGAAGGCGGCUUGCCAGAAUGCGCUCGACGGUGAGGGAUGAAAGCCUGGGGGA
rnacentral:rRNA from 1 species